ensembl:lncRNA
GAAAGUUGUUCAUGAGGAAUUAUCUUGCUAGAGGCACAGUGCUGCUAAACUACCCCAAAGGAGAACUGAGUGGAGCUGCUGGCUGUUCUUGACUGUGAAACACUGCUACAGCCAAGUGCUGGAGAAGUGCCCUGGCUACUGGAGCUGGGCACUGGAGAAGCUGUGAUGGGACAGGACUGAGCACUAGGAAAGGCACGGGGCAAUAGGAUCUGGUUGCUCGAGAAGUUGUAUACAGUGCAGGAAUCCUCCAAGAGAGCACUCUGGCUCUAGGAGAGAAAGCACCUCCUCCUCCUGUGUCUCUGCAGUGCCCUCUACUAAGGGGGUUUGAUGUCAGGCCAGCUAGUCUGCUAGCUGGGGACAUAUUUAAAGGGCCUUGCUGCAUCUUCACAGAGCAGGCAAUGAAGGGUGAAUCAAGUCGCUGGCACAGUCUGCUGCUUCAGCUGCACAGCUUCCAGUGGCUUCCUUUUUACACCCAUGUGACUCCCCUAUAACAACAGAAUAGUUGUAUUUCUACCUAUCAAAGCAGCUCUCCCGCAUCCUGUUCUCACCCUGUCUUCCAAACAGGGAGUGCCAGCACUAAUUGUCUCAAUCACUGUCCACAUGAAUAAUGCCUCAUAUUCAAUCACAGUCUCCCUGAAUAUUCUGUUACCUAAAGACUAGACUGUAAUUCGCAACUGAAUUAACGAAAUAAACUAAAUUAACUUCCAACAACUUGUGUAUAAAAUAAUAAGAAGAUGGCUGGAAAAAAAAGAAACUAGUUACCAUGUACAAACAAACACACGUCUCUACCAAGUAAAUAGAAAGCAUGCAAAGACUGCCAGAGUUCUCAUUUUUGAGUUUGUUCACAAGACCGCAUUUGCUAUCUGGCUUCCUUCUCCCGUUUCUCAUCCUGUAAGUUCUCUGCACUCUGCUGGGACCUCAGCAGGGCCAGCUUUUACCUGGUGGAGUGACCCAAAAGCCUUGAUUCUUGAAGGAUCUGAAUCCUUGGUCCCGGUUUUCCUUGGCACUCCCCCCACCCCCCCAUUUUUUGUUGUUGUUGUUUUUGGUUCCUGUAGUUUUUCAUUAACCCUUACUUUUGGUUAUGGAAAUUCUAAGAGGUACCUGAGAGAAUCCGCUAGUUCCAGAGGUUAUCUUCCUGGCUUCUAUUGUGUCCAGCAACCCGAUUUCUCCUUGGUAACUGGGAUUAGUCACUCCAGCCCACGAAGUUAACUCUUUCUUGUCUGUUGAUUCAGCAGUAUAAGGGGCUCCCCCAAAAGUCAGUGACUUGUGUUCCAGUGCAGUCACUGCAGUAUCCUCUUGGGGGGCAACACUCAGUGCCCCUGGACCCUUUCAGAGAUACAGGGGUGAAGUGGGGGCCAGAUGCAGGGAUCACGGGGAGAGUAAGUGAAGAGCCUCUAGAGCUGGCAGUUGUGAACUCUGAAGGCUGGAAAAGCGGAAAAUCACACAGGUGUGGACCGUGGGUCACUUCGGGGCAGGGAAGGGUGGGGACAGAGUCAGAUCCAGGCUUGUGGCUUUCCAGACAGCAGGCCCCACCAGGGCCUCAUGGGAGCUUUCAACCUGGACUCUGUGACCUGCCUCUCAGACGUGGGACGCCCAUCGACUCCCAGAUGUGUGGCCCAUCGCUGCGCACACAUCCCCAACCCCCUAAGACAGGAUUCCUCCUGAGUCACCAUGUUCGGAAGUGCGUGCUCCUGUAUGGAACUCUGUAUCGGCUCAUUUUGGCUCCUAAGAACAACUCCAGCUCCUUACCAGUGUCUAUUUUGAGUAAAAACCAUUUCCCCCCGCCCUGCUUUUCGGGCUGUGUCAUGGUAACCGUAAAGUAUGAGCAGAGGACUCCGAUUCAACUCAUCUCUGCCCAUGUGGCCACCAUAAUGGCAGCACUGGGUGUGAUUUAAACGCUCAUGCUGGUGGUGCCCCAGCCUCGAGGGUGGUGUGACAGCCACAAGCCAUCUUGCCGUGACUCCAGAGCCGGCAGAUGGGCUUUGAAGUGGGGGACAGCAUGGCAGGAUUGCUGACCUGCUGCCAGUGGCUUUUGGCGCUCUAUGGGCCGCUGGUGGUUUGGGUGGGAAUGACGUUUCUGGAAGUCAGAAUGAUGGUGUGAUGACAAUCCUCUCCCUCGUGUUGAGAGAGAAUGAGCAAUCAGAAAGUGGCACUGGGGCCUCCCCCGCCCCCUUAUCCAGCCCCAGUCUUGUGACCAAGAGAGGCUGUGGCGGGGAGGGGGAAGACGUGGCAGAUAAACAUCUCCGUCUGGGAGGCCAUGCCGCCUCCCUUUAGCUUUCUGCUGCCCCCAGCCUACCAAGUUUAUCACCACCCUGGCGGAUGAUUGGCUGGUGUGGGGCGCACGAUACUCUCCUGUCUUCUGUCACCCACAGGACGCGUUUGCACCUCCUCCUAAGCUCAAGGGGCACAGACAGCUCAAGCUGGGGGCCGUGCUACUCACAUUCGUUGCCAUGUUUGCAAGGACUCCUGAGUUAGAUGAACCCAAAUUCAGAAUCCUGCGAAUCCUGCCUGGGGACUUUCUCCCUGAAGUACUCUGGAGAGGUAAUUAACCUCUCCAGGCCUCAGCUUAUCCUUCUGUAAAAUGGGAAUAGUAGAAACAACUUCAUACACUUCAUAGGAUGGUUCUGAGGAUGAGAUGGAGGCAGUGCAUGUCCCGUAGCACAGUGCCCGACACAGUAGGUGCUCAGCAAAUAGAGGGAUGACUACAUGAGCGAAUGGCUCCCGCAUUGGGCAGGGCACUGAGCACCAUGAUUAGAAGGUCGCAUGGCCUGUUACCACCCCUCCCCCUGCCCACUGCCGACCAGCCUCACCAGGAAAGAGAGACGACCUGGAAACUUUGUUUUCUGAUGAGUUCCUGCCCAAAGUUAAAACAUGGCUCAGUGGUAAAGAAUCCACCUGCCAAUGCAGGAGACCAGGGUUCGAUCCCUGGGUUGGGAAGAUCCCCUGGAGAAGGGAUAAGGCUACCCGCUUCAGUAUUCUGACCUGCACUGUAUAGCCCAUAGGGUCGCAAAGAGUCAGACACGACUGAGCGACUUUCAGUUUCACUAAG